AUGAUCACUACCCUUAAGACCUUUGUGUUUUCUCUUCCCUUUUGCUUCUUGGUCGGUUCCCGUGGUCCGUCUGAUUCUGCCAAACCACAGUCGGGUGAAGCCGGGGGGAGCUCAAUGGAGUUGAGAGUGCGUGGUGCAGUGACUGUGAUACAGAGUAAUGGGAGGCAGAGCCUGGCGAUCCCAUCCUGGACUCAUUCCGUGGCCACAGGUGGAAGAUCAUGGUACUUGUUGUUCAACACCAAGUAUGUUCAACACCAAACAUUUCUAAUCUUUGUUUCCCCAAGAGCACCCAACGUCAAGCCAGAACUUCAAGGGCGGAAGGGUUUUCAGGCUUUGGUGUCACUGCUCUCCAGGACUGCUUGAAGGGUCUGGGCUGUUCCAAGGGGCAGGUUCCGGUGUGCUGAAAGGUGUUGUCUGCACUUGGUCUGCUUUUGCUCUGGAACUGGUUUGUCUGGACACAAGCUAUGAGCUCUACCUGUGUGAAGAAAAUGGCUGCAGAGUGUAAAACAAGACUCUUUGAACUUGACCAAUACUUUGGGCAAGAGCUGGAUGAAGUAAACAAAUGCGUGAUGAACACAUGCUUCGGGCCAUCCCAGUGGGCCUGGGGACACCUUCCCUCUUCUUUGUCCCCGACGCCUGGCAGAUACUCUCAGGCAUGCCCAGAACCUUAAGUUUUUUACUUCCAUUAACAAGCCAAAUAGUAGGGUGACCAUUUAAUCUAUGUUCAGCCGGACGCCGUUGAGAGCAUAGAGGAUGCUGUCGGUUACACUGGACAAAAAUGUACACGAGACUAUAUGGUGCACCCGACCGAAUGCCCACUUCGAGGAGGAACUCGAGACUGUCAGUGCAAACCGAGGUAAACCCUGUGAUUUCAGCCAGUUCAUUCACAGAAGUCUGUCUGAUCUGUCUUUGCCAGCCUGCGACAAUGAGGUCCACCUGCCAGCUAUAGAAACUUGGCAGACCCACUGGCCUUUGCGGACUUGUCUUCUUUUCCGUCAAAGGAGCUGAGUCCUCACCCCAGGACGGUUCUGAGGCUCAGAACUGACUAAGGAGACACUAAGAGACCGUGCUCUAGUCUCUCUUCUUGUUUUCUGUUCUCUCCCCAUUUCAUUCAGCACCCAUGCCUCCUUCUACACCAACUUGUGAAUGGUGGCACCUAUGAUUAUUGUUACUCAUUUUAAAACUCCUUUCUUUUUAAUGUUUAUUUAUUUUUGAGAGAGAGAGAGAGAGAGAGAGAGAGAGAGAGAGAAUGCAUGAACAUGUGCCAGUGGGGCAGGGGCAGAGAGAGAGGGAGACAGAGGAUCCCAAGCAGGCUUUGCACUGUUAGCAGAAAGCCCAAUGCGGGGCUUGAACUCAUGACCCG
rnacentral:lncRNA from 1 species